rnacentral:rRNA from 1 species
UGCAAGUCGAACGCUUCUUUUUCCACCGGAGCUUGCUCCACCGGAAAAAGAGGAGUGGCGAACGGGUGAGUAACACGUGGGUAACCUGCCCAUCAGAAGGGGAUAACACUUGGAAACAGGUGCUAAUACCGUAUAACAAUCGAAACCGCAUGGUUUUGAUUUGAAAGGCGCUUUCGGGUGUCGCUGAUGGAUGGACCCGCGGUGCAUUAGCUAGUUGGUGAGGUAACGGCUCACCAAGGCGACGAUGCAUAGCCGACCUGAGAGGGUGAUCGGCCACAUUGGGACUGAGACACGGCCCAAACUCCUACGGGAGGCAGCAGUAGGGAAUCUUCGGCAAUGGACGAAAGUCUGACCGAGCAACGCCGCGUGAGUGAAGAAGGUUUUCGGAUCGUAAAACUCUGUUGUUAGAGAAGAACAAGGAUGAGAGUAACUGUUCAUCCCUUGACGGUAUCUAACCAGAAAGCCACGGCUAACUACGUGCCA